rnacentral:tRNA from 1 species
CGUUAGGAAGCUAAACAGGGGCUAGCAUUAGCCUUUUAAGCUAAAGAUUGGUGAUUCCCAACCACCCCUAGCGA